AUUGAACGCUGGCGGCAUGCCUUACACAUGCAAGUCGAACGGUAACAGGUCUUCGGAUGCUGACGAGUGGCGAACGGGUGAGUAAUGCAUCGGAACGUGCCCAGUUGUGGGGGAUAACUGCUCGAAAGAGCAGCUAAUACCGCAUACGACCUGAGGGUGAAAGCGGGGGAUCGCAAGACCUCGCGCAAUUGGAGCGGCCGAUGUCAGAUUAGGUAGUUGGUGGGGUAAAGGCCUACCAAGCCGACGAUCUGUAGUUGGUCUGAGAGGACGACCAGCCACACUGGGACUGAGACACGGCCCAGACUCCUACGGGAGGCAGCAGUGGGGAAUUUUGGACAAUGGGCACAAGCCUGAUCCAGCAAUGCCGCGUGCAGGAAGAAGGCCUUCGGGUUGUAAACUGCUUUUGUCAGGGAAGAAAUCCUCUGGGUUAAUACCCCGGGGGGAUGACGGUACCUGAAGAAUAAGCACCGGCUAACUACGUGCCAGCAGCCGCGGUAA
rnacentral:rRNA from 1 species